CCUUCUUCUUUUUUAUCCCCACUUCAGCCCUACAUUCAAAGCAUCAGAUUUGGAGAGUGACUUGUCAACAACCAUAAAAUAAAGACAUUAUACAAGCAAUGAGAGAUUUGGUGCUGAGGACCCAGAAGGAAUCUCUCCAUUCCUGGGCCGAAUUGAGCUUAUCUUCUUUGUAUCCAAUACUCUUCGUCGUUUUACAACAAUAUCUUCUGAUCAUCCCACGUUGUUCUAGCUAGCUCUCGCCUCCUUUCAUUAUAUAUUCAGUCUUUCCGUUAUUGUUGCCAAAAUCAUUAAUAAACAAUUUCUUCUUUUACUAGCUCUUAGUACAAAGUGGGUGUACAUGUUUGCAGAUUAUUGGCUUUCACAUUAUUUUUGUUUCCCUCUCUCACUUCAAAUCCAAUCCCCAUAGGCAGAGACAGCUUGUGUGAGUGCGUUUUUCAACUUCUUAAGUACACUUGUUUAUUCAACGCAACUCCGCUUAGUAUUUGGAUCACAUGGGAGAGCAUAAGUUGGGACAACUUUGUAUUAAGAUUUGGAGAUGGAAACGGA
rnacentral:lncRNA from 1 species